rnacentral:rRNA from 1 species
AGAGUUUGAUCCUGGCUCAGGAUGAACGCUAGCUACAGGCUUAACACAUGCAAGUCGAGGGGCAGCAUUUCAGUUUGCUUGCAAACUGGAGAUGGCGACCGGCGCACGGGUGAGUAACACGUAUCCAACCUGCCGAUAACUCGGGGAUAGCCUUUCGGAAGAAAGAUUAAUACCCGGUGGUAUAAUCAGACCGCAUGGUCUUGUUAUUAAAGAAUUUCGGUUAUCGAUGGGGAUGCGUUCCAUUAGGCAGUUGGUGAGGUAACGGCUCACCAAACCUUCGAUGGAUAGGGGUUCUGAGAGGAAGGUCCCCCACAUUGGAACUGAGACACGGUCCAAACUCCUACGGGAGGAGCA